rnacentral:rRNA from 1 species
UACGUAGGGGGCAAGCGUUGUCCGGAUUUAUUGGGCGUAAAGAGCGUGUAGGCGGCCAAGCAGGUCCGCUGUGAAAACUCGAGGCUCAACCUCGAGACGUCGGUGGAAACCGUUUGGCUAGAGUCCGGAAGAGGAGAGUGGAAUUCCCGGUGUAGCGGUGAAAUGCGCAGACUAUCGGGAAGAACACCCGUGGCGAAGGCGGCUCUCUGGGACGGUACUGACGCUGAGACGCGAAAGCGUGGGGAGCGAACAGG